CCUACGGGUGGCAGCAGUGAGGAAUAUUGGUCAAUGGGCGCAAGCCUGAACCAGCCAAGUCGCGUGAGGGAUGACGGCCCUACGGGUUGUAAACCUCUUUUGCCGGGGAGCAACGGGCGUCACGUGUGGCGCCACUGAGAGUACCCGGAGAAAAAGCAUCGGCAAACUCCGUGCCAGCAGCCGCGGUAAUACGGAGGAUGCGAGCGUUAUCCGGAUUUAUUGGGUUUAAAGGGUGCGUAGGCGGAUCGUUAAGUCAGUGGUCAAAUUGAGGGGCUCAACCCCUUCCCGCGAGUGAAACUGGCGUUCUUGAGUGGAAGAGAAGUAUGCGGAAUGCGUGGUGUAGCGGUGAAAUGCAGAGAUAUCACGCAGAACCCCGAUUGGGAAGGCAGCAUGCCGGCUUCCGACUGACGCUGAAGCACGAAAGCGUGGGGAUCGAACAGGAUUAGAUACCCGUGUAGUC
rnacentral:rRNA from 1 species